CAAAAGACACACGAACUCACAUUCUCAGUGUCGAUGUCUUUGUGAGACUGCCCACUUUCUCCUUUGAAGGUGUAAACUUUACCAUAAACUCUACCCAUCCUUGUGCAUGGCUGCUCAUGUGUCUCAGUUCACUUCUCUCAUCAAAGACACAAAGGACCAAGGACCCAGCUUCCUGGUGUUAGUGGAGGCCCUAGGGAUUAACAACAAACCCCAAACCUUUUUGGAAACCCGCAGAGUAAUGAGGUAUGAGUUACGUGCUCGGGAUGCUUCAGUUGCUUUUAUCAGUAAUCAUCACAGAGUCCCAAGGACACACAGUUUUUCUUUGAGGAUGAACAUAUCUGCAUGCAACACAGACUCGAUGAUGAAAACCUCAUCUCCAUCACUUCAUGAGUGGCUUGCUCACAGCUGGAUUUCUAAGUCCCACCAAGCUUCAGUCCUGCUACCUGCAAAAUGGGUACAGAGCAGCAGCGACCUAGCAGAACCCUUCUGGGUACUGCCUUGAAUCCAGUACUUGACAGAAAAGUGAAUACAAC
rnacentral:lncRNA from 1 species